GCGGCACGCCUAACACAUGCAAGUCGAGCGAGGUAGCAAUACCUAGCGGCAGACGGGUGAGUAACAUGUGGGAAUCUACCUUUCGGUUGGGGAUAACACCGGGAAACCGGUGCUAAUACCGGAUAAGUCCUAACGGAGAAAGUUUUAAUGCCAAAAGAUGAGCCCGCAUUUGAUUAGCUAGUUGGUAAGGUAAAAGCUUACCAAGGCGACAAUCAAUAGCUGAUUUGAGAGGAUGAUCAGCCACACUGGGACUGAGAUACGGCCCAGACUCC
rnacentral:rRNA from 1 species